AAGUCGUAACAAGGUUUCCGUAGGUGAACCUGCGGAAGGAUCAUUAACACGUAGCCAAACGUAAAAAACCCCCCCCGUGAACAUUCAAUCCUGCUCUUGUAACGUCGACAGGAAUCGUUGAAGCGCUAUCCUUGCACAAUCAGUGACACUUUCAGACACUGACUGCUUGGGGAAACAAUGCCUAUGAAACUACCGCUCGAUUGUAACUGUUCCAAUGUUCUCACGUAGCCAGAGGUCUCUGAAUCAAACUACUUUCCGGGCUAUGAUUUACCAGAGAUUGCGAACUACGCGGCGUACACUCGGGCAGGAGCUAUGCCAAAGGGUCCCCAUGCCCCUUAUAACCCCACAGUUUAAUGUGAAGCUCAAUGUAAUACAUUGGGUAAAAAAACCGAACAACUGUUAACAAUGGAUAUCUUGGUUCUC
rnacentral:misc_RNA from 1 species